GACGGAGGAUGCAAUCGUUAUCCGGAAUUAUUGGGCGUAAAGCGUCCGCAGGUGGCAGUUCAAGUCUGCUGUCAAAGACCGGGGCUUAACUUCGGAAAGGCAGUGGAAACUGAACAGCUAGAGUAUGGUAGGGGCAGAGGGAAUUCCUGGUGUAGCGGUGAAAUGCGUAGAGAUCAGGAAGAACAUCGGUGGCGAAGGCGCUCUGCUGGACCAUAACUGACACUCAGGGACGAAAGCUAGGGGAGCGAAUGGG
rnacentral:rRNA from 1 species